UACGUAGGGGGCAAGCGUUGUCCGGAUUUACUGGGUGUAAAGGGCGCGCAGGCGGGUUUGUAAGUCGGUGGUGAAAGCCUGUGGCUUAACUGCAGAACUGCCAUUGAUACUGCAAAUCUUGAGUGCGGAAGAGAGAGACGGAAUUCCAGGUGUAGUGGUGAAAUACGUAGAUAUCUGGAAGAACACCAGUUGCGAAGGCGGUCUCUUGGUCCGUAACUGACGCUGAGGCGCGACAGCGUGGGUAGCUAACAGG
rnacentral:rRNA from 1 species